AGUUAAAAAGCUUUAGAAAGCAUAUAUUUUGAAAAUAUAAGAAAAAGGUUUAAUUCCUUUAUUAACUU
rnacentral:tRNA from 2 species